rnacentral:lncRNA from 1 species
CCUGGGGAGCGCCCAGACCCACCUUGUUUGCCGAUGGCCGGCCAUCGGCAAAGCUUAUUUGCCGAUGGCUUUCCAAGGCCAUCGGCAAACAAUCAAUUUUUUUUUUGUUUUUUCCUUCCCAAUUUUUUCUGGUGUCUUCCUACCUCACAUACAAGCCACCUCCAAAGUUUGGGACAAUUUUAAACUUUUUAGCUAUAUUUCGUUGAUUAUUUCUGUUUCUUUUAAUUUUUCCUGCACCUCAAGAUUUGAACUGCAGGUACAUGAAAUAAUGCAGACUUUUGAUUUGAAAAAUGAUAUUCAUGAUUCUCGGAGUAUGUUGAGGCCAUAUCCAGGAGCUCGCAUGGAAUUACGACCCUGUUGGCCUCGUAACAUGGGUAGUGACGUGCCGGGAAAGUGUUUUAAAAUUCUAUAAAAUCCAAACGGAGUCUGAAAUUGACGAAACUUGACAAGUUGUGUUGGCAUGGCAUGUGUAGUGUGUGGU